GAUAGAACACAUAAUUUUGUUUUUUAGCUAAUCAUAAAGUUUAAUACUUAUUUUUAUACCUCUUAUAACAUUAAAAUCUAGUAAUUUUGUUCAUAAAUUCAGAAUUUUAUUUUUGAAAACUUUGACAAUUAAACCCCAGAUCAUAUCCCUUAAAUCCCAAACCCUAUUCCUAAAACCCAAACCAUUUUCCCAAAAUUCCAAACCUUAAAUUGAUCAUAAACUUAACCUGUAAAUUUUUUAAAAUUGUUGAAAUUAAAUCAUAAUCAUAAAUCCAAAAUAUAACAAUUGGUUCUAUAUACAAAUAUUUAAAAUUCACUUUUCGUCAAAUAAGAUCAUUCAUAUAUAUGUUUUAAAAUAAGUAAGAAAGGUGAAUUGUUGUUGGCCAAUGAAAUAAGAAAGAAAAGAUUGCUCAGUUUUUAAUCUAAACCAUUGAUAGAAGUUGAUCUAACGAUUUCAGUGCUUUGGUUUUUAAUAUUUUAUUUUUCUUUAUCUCCUCUAUCUCUCUCUCUCCAGAUCUGUCGUAUCUCUCAUUUCUUUUUCCAGAUCUGUCGAUCUCCUCAUCUCUUCUUUCUCUUUUGCGAUCACUCAUCUCCUCUUUCUUCUCCGCUGGUGUAAGGAGUGGUCUCUUCUCCGGUUCAGUCUCCUCUCUUCUCCUCUCGUGGCUCCUCUUCGUUCCUCUGCAAUCGACAUAAGAGCUGUUGUUCGGAGGAUUUCGUCCUUGGCGGCGGAUGAUAACCGGUGUUGGUUUAUAUGCGGUUCCAUGGAAGACGAGAUUGAAUUGCUUCUUAAAGACAGGGAGAUUAAUUAAAGAGGGUGGAGGAGGCUGAAGAAGCUUGAUGGUGGUGGUUUCGAAAAUGGUGGCUGAGCGUGAUGGUUUGAUGACUUGGUGACAUCGGGCUGUUGACAAUGGCGGAGAGAGAGUGACGAUGGUGGCGAGGACAGCAGAUAGUGGCGAGGGUGGAGGAGGCGAGGACAGUAGAUGGUGGCGAGUUUGGCUGAACCUUUGUGAAGGUGGAGACGGCGGCUGAAGUGUCUAUUAUUAGGUUUAAUUAGGUUUACAUUAACUAGUUGGUUUAGUUAAGAACUUAAGAUUAGAGUAAUAUAUUUAUGUAUUAUUGGUUUAGUUUUGUAAACCAAAAUUUAUUGUAAACUAAAUUUAAUUUAUAAAUAAAAUUUAUUUUAUUUUUGAUUA